rnacentral:rRNA from 1 species
UACGUAGGGUGCAAGCGUUGUCCGGAAUUAUUGGGCGUAAAGAGCUCGUAGGCGGUUUGUCGCGUCUGAUGUGAAAACCCGAGGCUCAACCUCGGGCCUGCAGUGGGUACGGGCAGACUAGAGUGCGGUAGGGGAGAUUGGAAUUCCUGGUGUAGCGGUGGAAUGCGCAGAUAUCAGGAGGAACACCAAUGGCGAAGGCAGAUCUCUGGGCCGUAACUGACGCUGAGGAGCGAAAGCAUGGGGAGCGAACAGG